GGGUUCAUAGUCUAGCCUGGUUAGGACGGCGCGUUGACGUCGCGUAAACCCUGGUUCAAAUCCGGGUGGACCCA
rnacentral:tRNA from 1 species